rnacentral:rRNA from 1 species
CCUACGGGCGGCAGCAGUGGGGAAUAUUGGACAAUGGGCGAAAGCCUGAUCCAGCGACGCCGCGUGAAGGAAGAAGGAUUUCGGUUUGUAAAGCUCUUUUAGCAGGGAAGAAAAUGAAGGCACUUGUGUAUGAAGCCACGGCUAAUUACGUGCCAGCAGCAGCGGCAAUACGGAGGGGGCCAGCGUUAUCCGGAUUUACUGGGUGUUAAGGGAGCGUAGACGGCAGCACAAGUCUGGAGUGAAAUGUUGGGGCUCAACCACGAAACUGCUGUUGAAACUGUACAACUUGAGUGCAGGAGAGGUAAGCGGAAUUCCUGGUGUAGCGGUGAAAUGCGUAGAUAUUAGGAGGAACACCAGUGGCGAAGGCGGCUUACUAGACUAUAACUGACGCUGAGGCUCGAAAGCGUGGGGAGCAAACAGGAUUAGAUACCCCAGUAGUC